rnacentral:rRNA from 1 species
GUGGGGAAUAUUGGACAAUGGGCGCAAGCCUGAUCCAGCCAUGCCGCGUGAGUGAUGAAGGCCCUAGGGUUGUAAAGCUCUUUCACCGGAGAAGAUAAUGACGGUAUCCGGAGAAGAAGCCCCGGCUAACUUCGUGCCAGCAGCCGCGGUAAUACGAAGGGGGCUAGCGUUGUUCGGAAUUACUGGGCGUAAAGCGCACGUAGGCGGAUAUUUAAGUCAGGGGUGAAAUCCCGGAGCUCAACUCCGGAACUGCCUUUGAUACUGGGUAUCUCGAGUAUGGAAGAGGUGAGUGGAAUUCCGAGUGUAGAGGUGAAAUUCGUAGAUAUUCGGAGGAACACCAGUGGCGAAGGCGGCUCACUGGUCCAUUACUGACGCUGAGGUGCGAAAGCGUGGGGAGCAAACAGGAUUAGAAACCCCGGUAGUCC